UGGCACUCCAUGGAGCCGCUGGCACCCGACGGCGCGCAGGAGGCCGACUACGUCGACUGCUGCAGCCUGCGUCGUCUGUUGAACUCUAUGCAAGCCUACUGCGGUAGAGGCAUUCACUUCUUGUUAACCGCGUGCGGUGCAGCGGCGGCGCUCCAACAAUCUCGACGUUCUCGAGAAGUUUGCCGCUGCUUCGGGGUGCGAUUGAAGCGACGCAGCUCGAAACCAUUACGAUCAAUAUAAUUAACUUUAGUUCGU
rnacentral:lncRNA from 1 species